GUACACACCGCCCGUCACACCACGAAAGUUGGUAACACCCGAAGCCGGUGGCCUAACCCUUAGGGGAGGGAGCUGUCGAAGGUGGGACUGAUGAUUGGGGUGAAGUCGUAACAAGGUACC
rnacentral:rRNA from 1 species